AGAUAUGGCUUCUGUUAAAGUGCUGUGGCGGAAUAAUAACCGAGAGGAAAUGACCUGGGAAGCUGAGGAGCAGAUGAAGAAAAAGUAUCCUCACCUAUUUCCAGUACCUUCAGGUAAUCCAAUUUCUAUGUUUGACUAUAUUGAUUUGUGAAUCAUUCGUAUAUGAUGGCUAUAAAAGAAACUCCCUCGAAUUUGAGUAAGAUCCGUAGCAUUAAUCCAACAUUCGAGGACGAAUGUUCUUAAGGGGGGGAGGAUGUUACGUCCCGUAUUUUUAUACAUUGGAACAACCCGGAUUAACUAUGAUAAUUUAAGGCCAAGAUUAUUCCGGGAUUUGAAGUCGGGACUUUUGACCAUUUGAUUUUAAUUUGAGAUAUAAGUCAUGUAUGAAAUUGAUGGCAUUGAACACUUAGGGAAAAUUGGGACUACAAUUCAUAAAAUUGGAACUAAAAUGUUGUGCAAAAAAAAAAAAAAUCCUUGGUGGCCAUGUAAAUGGGAAUUGGUCCCACACAUUGUGUGGCCAAUUUUAAUUGGUCCACCCCAUGUGUGGGCCAUGGACACUUGGACAAUAUUCAUAUAAGCACAAAAGAUGACCAAGUAGUCAUCUUUUCUACCAUUCCAUCAAAAAAAAAAAAAGAGCAAGAAGUUGAAGAACAACUUCAACCACACGGCCAAGAACAAAAAAAAAAACAAAUCCAAUUCAAGCCAUCCCAAAAUUAUUUCUUUGGUGUAAACCCACUAUUUUGAGGUCCCUAAGUAGUGUGGAAGUGUUGUUGGGGCGAUCAAAUCAUCCGUUUGGCAAGAUCACAAACCCUAACUAUUUGUGGGAUUGAAGAAGAAAGACCUUGGGGAGCCCGAGGCGUAGAUUUGGAUUAGCUUUAGAUUGAUUCGCUUGGAGUGCGUACGAGGUACAGACGCACAGCCUGGUGAUCCACCUGUUUAGGACACCCUUUCUGCUAUUCGGAGUGCUCCUCUCUUUCCGGAGCUUAUACUUUUGGUAUAUAUAUUUAUUAGUGCAUUUGUAUAUAUUCGUUCAUGGGUACGGCGGGGCCCUGUCCCGUCAAAUGAUUCUGUCGGUCUGUUUAGAGGUCUGUGGACAUGUUUGUGGGUUAGGGUCUUUCUGUAUGAAUGUAUGUACAUGUCGUUUGGGCGAUCACAUACGCCGAGGCGGCCGGUCCGCAUAUGUUGUUUGGGCGACCCUAUACGCCGAGGCGGCCGGUCCGCAUAUGUUUAUAUAUUGCUUGGUUAGCCCUGUGUGGCUUUCGUUGGUA